CAGCCUUCGCCUCCUCCUCUACCAGCACCACUCCCUCUGGGGCACCAGGGUCCCUGCAGAUUCCCCGGGCCUGGCCGCCUGCCUCCACGCGGGCCCCGGGACCCGAGCCCGCUGCGCCGGAGCUGGUAGGACACACGGACAGACAGACGCGGAGAUUCCUCUCGCUCGCCGCUCUGCCACUGCUGCCCUCCGCGGCCCGCGUCGGUGGAGCCGAGAUCGCCCGGGGGUUCUGCGCGGGGCUGGGUUGCAGUGCAAAUCCAGGACUCUCAACUAGAGACUGCAGAUCGCGUCUCCAGUUCCAGGCCGUGUCCGCAUUUUCGAGCUCGCCUUCAGUUUUGGGAUGAUUUUAGGGCCGAGUUCUCGGUCCCCAUUGGCUCGUGCUGUGGCAUAAUUAUGAUCACAUCCCCCAGGCUGCUGGCGCUGCUCUCUGUUUAUUGGUGGUUAAAGAUCUAUUAUCUAUUCAUCAGCCGCCUCUUUUUUCCUCUCCCCCUCCCUUUUGCCAAUUACAUUCUUAUAAAGUGAAGUACCAGCAGGUAUUUUGCAAUUAAUAAUAAAAAAUGCUGGCGUCUUUUAAAUCUAUUACAACCAGGCCUGGGUCAUUUAUUUUAAGGAGGAAGAAAUGCCUGUGUUUCCUGGCUAGGUUGCUGUGAGACCUGGGAGAAGUCUAUCAGAAGUACAGACCCCAAAAGGGAAGCCGCAACUCCACCAGAUUCAACCAAGGAUCAGGAGUCCUAGGACAUGCUCCAGGGUCCCCCAGCUUCUCCAUUCCUUGCCCUCUGGUCUUCUCUUUACCUCCACUGGUCUCAUCCACUGCUAUGUAUUUGGUUCUACCAAUUUCUUGACUUUAUUCCAGGUACUGUACUGUGUUGUGUGGAGGAGGGGGAAAUGACCAGAAACAUCCUUGAGAAACCUUCCAGACAAAAGAGAAGUUGGGAGAGGUGCUUUCUGGUGUUGUUGGAGUUCCAAAUAGAUUAGCUGGGAGCUCCAGAGAUCACCUGUCUUGUACCCCUCGAUCUUUUCAGGGCACAUAAGCAUGCGGGUGCACACACACACACACACACACACACACACACAUUUACUCUGGGGAUCCUUGUGGUCCUCAGCUUUGGCCUCACUGUGGGAUAAACUGGCUGCUGCCUCAGGCUUUGGACCUCUGCACCAUGGCUCCAGGCUGGGGCCCUGCCUGAGUUCUCCCUCUUUGUUCCAGGUGGCCAUGCUUUGGACCUUUUUUUCCACACUCAGAUUCUGAGCAUUGGGUCCAGCACCUUGGCAUGCAGGUGAACCCAAAGACUACUCUCCUCAGGCCUGGACCGUCAUCCCCCAAAAUACUUUCUCCGGGCCCGGCAGGCAGUACCCCUGACUAGGCUGUGGAGACAGAGGCACCACUUGCCUGCGCCAGCAAGGAGCCUUGAAGUCCCCAUGAAGUGAAGGGUGGAGGUCUUUGGGCCAGCAAGCUCCAGUAGAGAUAGGAGUCAGUCCUAGAGUUUCUGAAGCUGGAAACAAACACCCAGUUUGGGCAGACUGCAACCAGGAUCCUGAGGUAAGAGAGAGAGGCCACUUUUCUGUGUGAUCUUCUGUAGGACUGCAGGGUAGAGCCAGGCUUCAGCAUUCAGCCUCCAGUGCUCCAAACCAAGGCCACUGAAAGCCCGCCCAGAUCAUGGGGCGGGAAAUGGCCAUUUAUUGCAGUUGGCAUUAGCAAUGUUGGCUGGGGGUAUAAAAGUCAUUGACCAAGGGGACUACAGUCCUGGUGAGACCCCAGCAGUGUGUGGUAAGUAAAUGUAGGUAAAAUGUUCAGCACUGGGUCCUUAAGGUGUAACCGGUAGCUUUCACCUCUUUAGCCAGGACACUGGGCAAGUGUUCUAAGGGAGCCAGCUGGUGACCGGGCCUCUCAACCUCUUGUUCUGGGGGAAAAUUUUGGCAGAGCAGAUGAGAGAUGGCUCAAGGGCCAAGUCAGGUCCUGUGGCAUCCUCCACAAGCCACCUACCUCUUGGAAACUGCCCUUCGAAGGCCAGGAUUGCUCCAGGUCUCUGGCUGGUGGGCAGGUGGGAGAGAGCAAGGGAGGUGCCCACCUUUUUGAAGGAGGAAAAGCUAGCCAGUUCUGCUCCAAGCUCAGGGUCUGAGUCCAAGCUCGGGCCCCAGGGCGCUGCUGGGCCCUCCGUGAGUGGACAUUAACUAGCAGAGUAACUCAUUAAUUGCACUGGCCAGAGGAGGCUGGGCGCUCAGGGCUGGACUCAGACCCUGAGCUCUCAGGUCAUGGGCCUGCCGCUUACUUUGCUCAUGGCUUUGGGCCUCUCAGAAUCCGACCCUCUUUUGUUCCUAAGCCAUCCAGAGAGUGGGUAUUUGGUUAAGUAUCUGUGCCUGCAUCGGGGCUUCCUUCCUUCCUUGGUAGACUCAGGAAUCUCGACUCUGCAGGCAGCUGGACCAGCAGACACAUACAAUGGUUCCAUUCCCGGAAUUUUUACUAACUGAAGGAUUUUGGGCAACACCACAACCUCUCCGACCUCAUUUUGUCAUGUGCAGAAAUACAGCCAAUGCUGCCUGAGAAGCUGGAGAGGGUAGCAGUGACGCUGUCAGGGAAGGGGAUGAGUAAUCCAAAGUCUCUACUUUCUGAUUUUGAUGCUAUCCACACCACUGUGGUUUUGGAAACUCAGAACUCCAUGAACAGUGCAAAGUGUGAAUUUUACUGUGUGUAAUUACAUCUUAAUAAAACUGCCCCCUCCAAAAAAAAGAGAGACUUGUAUUCACAGAAUUAUUGUGUGACCUUGGUCAGGUUACUUAACCCCUCUGUGCCUCUGUUCUUCUUCCCUCGAAUGGGAAUAAGGACUAGUAUGUCGAUCCUUGGAAUUAUUUAAUGAGAAAAACUAAAGCGUUCAGACAAUGCCUGGCACAUAAUGAUCUUCAGUAAAAGCUCCUGUCCUGGAUGUGGCUGUUAUUGUCUACCCACACAAGGCAAGAUGCUGGUCUUCAAAGACUGAACAAUCAAGUUGUACAAAUGAGUUAACGCCGGUCUGACGCUGCUCCAAGCUCCAGCAGAGGCCCUGAAGUUCCUUUAGGAGGUGCCAGGGUGAGAGGAGCCUGGAGUCCUAGCUCACUGGAGCGACAAAGGGCAGAGAUUCCUGGGGAGCUCUGAGAACCGCUGCUCGCUGCUCGGAGUUUGUCUGGCCCUUACACUUCCGAGGAACAGCCGCCCGAGGGCCCGCUCCCUCUCCCAUUGCUCUGGAGUGGGCCCUGACUGGGGGUGCGUAGGAGUCCUCUGGGUUCAGGGCUGUAUGAUUCCAUUUUCUCCAGCCUUGGCUGUCGCCUCCGUGAAAAGGAAAUAUCAAUAUCUUAAUGGUUGUUGAAUAGGUGAGCUUGGCACACUGUUUGCGCUCAUCACAUUUUAGUUACAGCAUUUGCAACCCGAGCCUUGUGCGCUCUGGCCCAUGAGCACCGCGCCAUACCCAGGUCACCCGGGUUUGGAGUCUCCGGACCAGCCAAAGCUCUGAGUCUUCACUGUGCGUCAGCGGCGCCGCGCGGGAAGCGCCGCUGCCGGCUGCCGGCGAAGGGUGAGCCCUCUCCCGGGUCCAAGGCUGGCAAAAGGUGACCAGAGACGGGGAGGCAAGUUAGGAAGUUCGGUAAUUCACUGUGAUUCCCAGUCACUCCGCUUCUCCAAACUCUUCGGGCGGCUAUGGGAAAAGGAAAAGUAGAAUAAAUACCUUUAAAACAUUUUUUUAAAAUCUUAUUACGGCAAAUCCUUUUCUGGAGCACCACCCAGAGGCCUCGCCCGGCGGACGCGGCGGCCCUGGCCCGCGAUCGGCGUGCGCACAGCGGCGCCUAGUGGCGAGGGAGCCGUGAGGACGCGGUGCCCUAGGAAUCCCGAACCCUCGCGCCGGACGAGUGGGGCGGUUGCGCCCCACUUCCACGCUCUCGCAGACCACAGUCCAACCUAGAGGAGGAAGUCUAAGGAGGCUUCCUGACUACCGAGGAGAGUGAACGGCUUGGAAAUGUAUCUGCUUCAACCCAGCUUUCCGCUCCGUAGUUCAUCCUCCAGUGCAUUUCCAGCGAAUUGGGCGGCGGAAAGGAGGGGACAGAUUCUGCUUUAAGAAGAACUGGGUGGUGGUGACCACCUAACCCGGGCCAACGGCCAGCUAUCAUGCAAAGGCGGCCGUAACUCCAUGCCCACAGUCUCGGAUCCCCCUGCCCCACCACGGUGGCUCGGAGAAUGAGCCCGCGAAGUUCCGCGGGGCCCUAGUCGUGCCGGAGUGGGAAGGCUGGGGUAGCAGCGCUCCCGGAUUCGCGCCCCCUUGCGGCUGGCGGGGAACGCCCCCAGACAGAGGGUCUAAUUAUUGCGGAGAUAGCAACUGAUCCCACGGGGACUGGUGGGCUGCCCAGAUGGGCCCUGAUGAUGCGCCCCUGCCUUCUGGAGUGCGCGGAUCCCACCUUCCCAGGGCACCCUGCUUUGCUCUCCUCGGGCAUAGGCGGUGGGAUCAGCUCGGUAUUUGCUGGAAAACCGUGUGGUGUGAAGGGGCAGCGACGGCCUUCUGCCUUACUGCUCUGGGUGCCGACCUCGAGGGGCCGAGUCCUGGCAGGCGGAUCUCAACGCUGGUCCCGGCCUCUGCUGCCCGGGGUGGCUGCAGGAGACAGGCACUGUCCAGAUGCCAGCGGAGAGCCGUGAGCCUCGGGAUCUCCCUUGAUAUUCCUGUUGAGAGUCAACGUUUCCUCGGGAAUUCUGCACAGCUCCAGGAGGCACAUGCAGGACCACUGAGUUUUACCUCCUUCAUCACAUCAAAACUGUCAGUCUCUCCACAUACCCCAUCCUGAUUUACUGUUGAAAGCAAAGAAACAAAAUCAAGGUGGGGAGGUGGUAGUUUAUUUCUCUCUCAGCUGCCUUCAAAUGAAAGCUAAGAGGAAGCAAGGAUAGUCAAGGGAAGACAGGCACGAGGGGGCCAGGGAACACACUUGCUGGGUGACUGCCUCGCUGAGGCAUAGACAUCCCUGUGUCCCCUGCACUCUUCCUGGAGCUGUGUGUAGAUCCCAGUGUGGCACCUUCUCGAAUUGCCCCAAAGCUGCAUCUCCAUCAGGCACCAAAGCUGCAUCUCCAUCAGGCACCGUGGGCUCCUGCUGCACCAGGAGCACCUGGUACGGGUCUACAGUACAGUACCUUCCAGCCUCUUCUGGCUGUCUGGCACCUUCCUGUUUGAGACUGCUCCCUAACCACCAAGAGCAGCCCCUGGCUUGGAGUUCAGCCCUUGCCUGGCAACCAGAGGGGCUCCUCAGGCUUCCAUUAGAGCAGCAAACUUCCUUCUAACCUACAAGUCCUGAAACACAGCUAGCUGGCAGUCCUCUCUGGAAACUUAAUCCUGCCUUUUAGCGCCUCCCCAUUUUCUGGACUGCAAGGGUUAGGCCAGGCUUAGAGAGGAGCCACUGGCAUCUGAAGAGGAAAGUUGAAGCUUUUUCUUUUGCACUUCAGAACAGUGAGAAUGAUAGGGUAAGAACUAGAGAACACAGACAGUUCCUCUCAGCUGUAUGGAGUUUUCACUUUAAGCAUAUUUGUUCACACCCAUGCUCUGGGUGUAACACAGGCCGUAGUCUGGCGUUGAUACCCAUUUCCCAGGUGAGAAAACUGGAGCUCAGAGAAGUUGCACAGCCACUAAAUAGAUCCCCCAGCUCCUGGCCCUGGAUAUCGUGGAGUCUGCAGAGCCUGCUCUCCAGCCAAGGAGAAAAGGCAAAGUCCACACUUGUACAGCUUGCAAGGAAGGCCCUUCCCAUUAGCCCUAGGUCGUUGUAAAUCUGGCGCUUGCCCUGUGCCCACUUGCUUUUUCCCAGGUUGCCCCUUGUGGACCCGAGCCCAGGAUUCAGAAUUGAAGGGCUUCGGGCGGCGUCUCCACAGGCUGGGAGCUGAAGAGCCAGGGGGGAAGCACUGCGUGGCGUUUGCAGAGACUGGGGUGCGCCCAGUGCCUGGUGUUACUUGUGUGGGACACAUAAGGCGGACCUGAAACCUCCGAUGGUGGCCGCAGAACAGAGCAGUCUAGGACGACCAGGACG